AGGUAACUACCCUUCGGACGGGCACAACCCCGGGAAACUGGGGCUAAUUCCCGAUAGGUACCCCCUUCUGGAAUGUGGGGAUAUCCAAAGCUCCGGCGCCGAAGGAUGGGCCUGCGGCCGAUUAGGUUGUUGGCGGGGUAACAGCCCACCAAGCCGACGAUCGGUACGGGCAGUGAGAGCUGUAGCCCGGAGAUGGGGACUGAGACAAGGCCCCAGGCCCUACGGGGCGCAGCAGGCGCGAAACCUUCACAAUGCACGAAAGUGUGAUGAGGGUACUCCGAGUGCGCAUACAUUGUAUGUGCUUUUCUGCAGCGUAAAUAGUUGCAGGAAUAAGGGCUGGGCAAGACCGGUGCCAGCCGCCGCGGUAACACCGGCAGCCCUAGUGGUGGCCGCUUUUAUUGGGCCUAAAGCGUCCGUAGCCGGACAGGCGAGUCUUUGGGUAAAUCCUACGUCUUAAGCGUGGGAAUUCUAAAGAUACUACCUGUCUUGAGGCCGGGAGAGGCUGGAGGUACUCCUGGGGUAGGGGUAAAAUCCUAUAAUCCUGGGGGGACCACCGAUGGCGAAGGCAUCCAGCUGGAACGGGCCUGACGGUGAGGGACGAAACCCAGGGGAGCGAGCCGGAUUAGAUACCCGGGUAGUCCUGGGCGUAAAUGAUGUGGGCUUGGUGUGAGCGCAUCGACGAGGUGCGCUUGUGCCGUAGGGAAGCCGUUAAGCCCACCGCCUGGGGAGUACGGUCGCAAGGCUGAAACUUAA
rnacentral:rRNA from 1 species